rnacentral:lncRNA from 1 species
UAUGCACCUGUAAUUGCUUUAUUUUUGUCCCCAUUACUCUUCUUAAUAUGCUCUCCACACUUUUAACUUAUGAAAUGUACAUAAUUCAGGCUCUAGCGAGUGAACAUUGAUCUAGGGGGAAAGUGAAAACAAUAUUGUUGCCAGGAUUUUUCUUGGUUCUUAGUUGUUUUUCCAUUUUACAUAUUUUUCUGUAUGCACCUGUAAUUGCUUUAUUUUUGUCCCCAUUUUUCUUCUGAAUGCAGUGCUCUCCACACUUUUAACUUAUGAAACGUACAUAAUUCAGGCUCUUGCGAAUGAACUUUGAUCUAGGGGGAAAGUGAAAAAAGUAUUGCUACACCAGGUAAUUUUUGCUACUUCUGAUCUAUAACUGUGCAGCUACAAUACACCUUGCUUCUACCUUGUGUUUUGUGUUAUAAUAUGUAGAUAUGUGUACGUGUGAGAAUAGAUUAAAUGUUACCCUUAUAAAGUUUCAACUUUAACAAAGAAAAUGUGUUAAACUUGAUGAAGAUCUACUUGAUCACACGAUAGGUGGAUGAAGAUCUACUUGAUCACACGACAGGCCAUCCAUAUCUUCGUUCCGAAAAUAAUAAAAGAAACCUUAGGUGACGUAUCGCGUACAAAGAAAUGCCACCUGAAAAAAGCAGCUCUUCUAGAGCGACGUCGGGCUGCAUAUGCUGCGAGAAAACGCCGCUUUUCUGAAAUUUCUUCCGCCAACCCUUCUGAUCAAAGUCAGUCUUCUUUCGAAUCUGAAUGGAUGAUAUCAGGACAAGCUUCUACCUUCAUCCGAGACAUACCUUCUUCUUCCCGAAAUGGUUGGUUGAAUUGAACUAUAAUAUUCGAUUAACUUCCGGCAUUUUAGGCUAUCUUCAGAUAGUUAACAUAUUUUGAGGUGCUGCCUGUAUAUUACACACCGGCAUCAGGAACAUAUAAUGAAAAUUUAACUACUUAUGAUAUUGCAGGACGCUCCUCGACACAGGUAGG